rnacentral:ncRNA from 1 species
GUCAUUGCUACGAUAGGGAGUAGUAUUGGAGAACCCUCAUCAAGAGAGGCGACGGGAGGUGCAAGUCGCUGUAGGGAACUUCAAGAACUCGCCCUGGAGCUGUGUUCAGGUUACAAUGAACACCGGUGCGAGCCGUUAAGAUCGCUUAAGCACUUAUGAAAUUGGGUGGUACCACGGGAGCAAGCCUCUCGUCCCUUUU